CAACAACACGUGGUUUUGUAAAACAUAUAAAUCCGCCCCCAGUCCCCUCAAUCAGUCUUUCUCACCUACUGCGGUUGGAGGACAAGUGGACAUCAGCACAUGUGGACGAUUUCGCCAUAAGCUACCAAUUGAUUCAUUUUGAUAGUCAGUUAGUUAUUUUUUUAUAACAAUUUUUUUAUUAGGUAAUAUUUGACUCAAGUUUUGGGUUAUUUGCUUGCAAUUGGCCGAGAAUCUAAGCUCAAUCCUUGCUGUGCUGGAAAAUCGGGUAAUGUGAACUGCCAUUGUAGGACUGAUCACCGCUUCCAUUCAACCCCUGGAUCUUCAGAUCUGUUAACUAGUUUGAGGUCAAAUUUAUGUACAUCUAAUGACUACGUAUGUACUCUACAGUUGCUAACCAGAUGCGUUUUGUCUGCGGCACUAUCGAACUGGUUCAAAAUUGUACAAAAUGUUACUUUUGGUUCAAAGUGUUCAAUAAAUGCAGUGAAUGUUGACUGUUUAUAAUUUAUGGAAUGUCAUUGGCAGUUAAUACCUCUUAAUUAAUAUACUGUUAAUACCUCUUUAAAAUAAAAUAAAAAUAAAAUCAUCA